rnacentral:lncRNA from 1 species
AGCUAUGAAGAGUCUGGCUUCAAAGAUAACACUCUUCGACGACCCAUUGCUAUUUAUGUAUAUGCAUCAAAGACAGCUAAUAUUAAUUACUUGAAACACAAAACUCCAACGUAACGUUACUAUUCUUUUUUUUUUCUUUUCUCUUUGGCCUACAUUAGAAAUCCAUCUUUACAUAAUUAAAUAACGAACCAACGUAUUGUCUCCAUGCAUAUGUUAAAACAAGGAACAGCCAAAUUAACAUGAGUGGCACCCAUGUGUCGGUUUUAAUGGAUUGGUCGGUUCAUU